rnacentral:ncRNA from 1 species
UCAGAUAGAGGUUGCGUGACCCAUCAGUAGCUUUUCAGAUGUUGCAGGGACAGGAGAAGAAAAGGGAAAGGGGAGAGCGCCGAAAGAGGAGAGAGCCUGCACCUCAAUUCUUGGGCAUGCGGUUAAGAGCUGCAUGACUGUCAUCUGCAAAAGGAUGGGGAGCUAUCUGA